CCCAGUGUAGCGGUGAAAUGCGUAGAUAUUGGGAAGAACAUCGGUGGCGAAGGCGUGCUACUGGACCGUAACUGACACUCAGGGACGAAAGCUAGGGGAGCGAAAGGGAUUAGAUACCCCUGUAGUCCUAGCUGUAAACGAUGGAAACUAGGUGUGGCUUGUAUCGACCCGAGCCGUGCCGUAGCUAACGCGUUAAGUUUCCCGCCUGGGGAGUACGCACGCAAGUGUGAAACUCAAAGGAAUUGACGGGGGCCCGCACAAGCGGUGGAGUAUGUGGUUUAAUUCGAUGCAACGCGAAGAACCUUACCAGGGCUUGACAUGUCGCGAAUCUCGGUGAAAGCUGAGAGUGCCUUCGGGAGCGCGAACACAGGUGGUGCAUGGCUGUCGUCAGCUCGUGUCGUGAGAUGUUGGGUUAAGUCCCGCAACGAGCGCAACCCUUAUUUUUAGUUGCCAGCAUUAAGAUGGGCACUCUAGAAAGACUGCCGGUGACAAACCGGAGGAAGGUGAGGACGACGUCAAGUCAGCAUGCCCCUUACGCCCUGGGCUACACACGUACUACAAUGGUUGGGACAAAGGGCAGCGACUCCGCAAGGAAUAGCGAAUCUCAUCAAACCCAGCCUCAGUUCAGAUUGCAGGCUGCAACUCGCCUGCAUGAAGGAGGAAUCGCUAGUAAUCGCAGGUCAGCAUACUGCGGUGAAUUCGUUCCCGGGCCUUGUACACACCGCCCGUCGCACCAUGGAAGCUGGUCACGCCCGAAGUAGUUACCCUAACCUUUCGAGGAGGGGGAUUCCUAAGGCAGGGCUAGUGACUGGGGUGAAGUCGUAACAAGGUAGCC
rnacentral:rRNA from 1 species